UGCAUCUAUAUAUGCGAUAGUUGUAAUGUCUAUAGAUAGACUAUACGUUAUUGUAAGACCUUUAUCUGCAGCCUCUAAGGGACAAAAGUAUCGAUUUCGGUUGGCAUCAAUAGCAUGGAUUACUGGAUCAGUUCUUGCUGUGCAGUACGUUGUUCACAUUGAGUUUUGGAAGACGGAGAAGAUAGUUUGUGUUCAUUUUAUUCCAUACAGG
rnacentral:lncRNA from 1 species